AAAGCUGGAGGAUUGGGUGGUGCUACAGGCACAGGAUCAGGAUUAUUGAAAAGAGACCUGGCAGAUAAAGUCUCUGGUAUAGUGACUUCUUUGGAGGUACCAUCUCUCGAGCUCUGAGAGCGACAUUAGCCUGGAGGAACUCAACAGAUUUGGACCUAAUAAUGAUGCAGUAAUAAAAUGGACGUCUCCUCUAAAAAUUGUCUGAAAUCAAAGAAAAUGAAAAUUAUAUAAUAACGUUUGCAGAAUGUUUGACAAUAAUAAAUGUUCAAUAAAAGGCAGAUCUGUUGUA
rnacentral:sRNA from 1 species